UUUAUGGAGAGUUUGAUCCUGGCUCAGGACGAACGCUGGCGGCGUGCCUAAUACAUGCAAGUCGAGCGGACU
rnacentral:rRNA from 1 species